UACCAUUCCCUUUUCUGCCUUUGUUUGCUGUAUUACAUAAUGUUACAACAAGAGUAGUGACUUUUAAUGACACAUGUACAGCUUGUAAGAAGGCAGUUGUAUUAACACAUGUGGACGGAAUAGGUGUGUGUGUGUCGUGUUUGACUUUUGGUUCUAUGAUAGUGGAUGAAGGACAGUAAUAAGGUGUAAAAAUAUAAGGUAGUGUAUAGUUCUCAAUUGCAGUGUCGUUCAUAAUGACUAACAUUUGUCCCUUUUUCCAAUUAAUGAUACCAGUUAUAUAAUCAUUAUUAAAAGUAAUAAGGCCUGUCUAUUUACAUUGAUAUGCAACCUUAACUGUGCACAUUUCUGCGUUAUAAGAUCUAACAAUUUUCUGUGAACCUUUAAACAAACAUAAUGCAUCGGUUUCAUUAGCUGUAGACACAUUUCAUAUGGGUAACUGGUACUUAUAAGGGUUACUAUUUGUCCAAUUCAUCCAAAUGCGUUCAGUAAAUGAAUGAUUGCAUAUUGCAUGCUGAUAGAAAGGUGGUGGAGAAAGGUUCUUGAGGGGGUGUGUGUGACGAAUGCUAGAUGAGGAGCUAAGGCCUAAUUGGGCUGGGGGUAUUGAAGAAUUGUUCAUCAUGUCAGUCUUUUUUCAGAAACAAACAGGUUUCAAACUUGCCAUUGACUUGUACUCAUAAUGGCAUUCAAGGAACAAUAUCAGAGGGAGUAUAACAACUCCAGAAAGCAUAGCGCACAACAUAAUCUUGG